AACUUCGUGCCAGCAGCCGCGGUAAUACGAAGGGACCUAGCGUAAUUCGGAAUUACUGGGCGUAAAGCGCGCGUAGGCGGUUAAGUAAGUUAAUUGUGAAAGCCCAAAGCUCAACUUUGGAAUUGCAAUUAAAACUACUUAGCUAGAGUUUAUCAGAGGAAAGCGGAAUACAUAGUGUAGAGGUGAAAUUCGUAGAUAUUAUGUAGAACACCAGUUGCGAAGGCGGCUUUCUGGGAUAACACUGACGCUGAGGUGCGAAAGUAUGGGUAGCGAAGAGGAUUAGAUACCCUCGUAGUCCAUACUGUAAACGAUGAUUGUUAGAUGUUGGAAAUUUAUUUUCAGUAUCACAGCUAACGCGUUAAACAAACCGCCUGGGGAGUACGACCGCAAGGUUAAAACUCAAAUGAAUUGACGGGGACCCGCACAAGCGGUGGAGCAUGUGGUUUAAUUCGAAGCUACGCGCAGAACCUUACCAACACUUGACAUGUCUGUCGCGGAAUCCAGAGAUGGAUUCUUUCGGUUCGGCCGGACAGAACACAGGUGCUGCAUGGCUGUCGUCAGCUCGUGUCGUGAGAUGUUGGGUUAAGUCCCGCAACGAGCGCAACCCCUACUUCUAGUUGCCAUCAGGUUAAGCUGGGCACUCUAGUAGGACUGCCUGUGAUAAGCAGGAGGAAGGUUGGGAUGACGUCAAGUCCUCAUGGCCCUUACGUGUUGGGCUACACACGUGCUACAAUGGCAGUGACAAUGAGAUGCUAAACGGCGACGUUAAGCUAAACUCAAAAACCUGCCUCAGUUCGGAUUGCACUCUGCAACUCGAGUGCAUGAAGCUGGAAUCGCUAGUAAUCGCUCAUCAGCGCGGAGCGGUGAAUACGUUCCCGGGUCUUGUACACACCGCCCGUCACACCAUGGAAGUUGGUUUUACCUUAAGGCAUGUCACUAACCUUCGGGAAGUGCGUGACCACGGUAUGAUCGGCGACUGGGGUGAAGUCGUAACAAGGUAGCCGUAGGGGAACCUGC
rnacentral:rRNA from 1 species